GACACUGAGAUGUUCUUGGCCUGGAAUCCC
rnacentral:piRNA from 1 species